ACCAGAAACCCGUCACGCAUGCCAAAAGCGCGCCAUUAGUUUGGCAUGAUUUCUCUUACUCUAGUGUUAAUGGCUGAGUGAGUCAUAUGUUGGGUUUGAAUGUGAUGUGUAACUUAUGACCAGCGUUAGCUGGAGGAGUACGACUCGGGCGCCUUGUUCCAUCACUCCCCCUGUCUGGAACAACGGACAAAGAAAAUAAACAACUGCCUCACCAGUAAUGAGACUAUAAUAGUUCCAACCAGCAGCAGAUGCAGCAGCCAUGGCCAGACCACAGGGCAGACAGGGAACAGUGAGCUGGAUAAGGAGGAGGAGGAGGAGGAGGAGGAGGAGGAGUUGGCAGAUGAGGGGGAGAUGGAGGACCUGAAGGAGAUGGUGGGAGAUGAAGUAGCUGGAGGCUGUGGGAAUGAUGGCGGAACAGGAGGCAGAUGAAGAGUUGAUGAAGAAGAUGGAGGAACCUGGUGGAGGGCGAGUUGGUGGAGGAGGAGGAAGAUGAAGAGUUGGUGAUGAGGAGAAGAAGGAUGGCCUGGAGGAGGUGAAGAUUUGGAGGAGGAGUUGGCAGAAGGGGAGACGGAGUGACCUCAGCAAUAACCACCAUGUGACACAUGAAAGCAGCCAUGGUCAACAGCAGCAAUGAAGAGACCGAUGGAUCCUCUUACCGGUGUUAAAGGAAAAAGGAUCAUGGUUCAUCAUCAUGGUCUUCGAUGGCGCUCUCCAUAACGAAAUGUUGUUACUGAAGAGACAGCACUCACCCCGGGGCCCAGCGCCGGCACGGUCAGAGGAUUUCCUCCUGUCCAACCUGAUUGCAAUGGUCCUGUUGAUAGUUAGUUGAAAUGAAACCACAUGGACAACACACAGACACACAAACACACACACACAAAUAUACGCACACACACACACACACACACACACACACACACACACACACACACACACACACACACACACACACACACACACACACACACACACACCAGUGACGAGCAGUGUGUUUUGACAUAAGGCAUGCUGAUGAGAUGGUGCAUGAAAGUGUAGUAUCCUCGAAAAUGUGUAAUUUAGCCGAGUCACUGGGGGCAUUGUCACGUGAACAAAAUGCUCAGGCGUAAUCUGCUUUGCUUCCAACAAACAUUCAGCGCUUUGAAUGUGUGUCAAAAUUGUGAACCGUUUCUUCCACAUUAUUUGUAAAUGUUUAUGUGAAACUCGAGGUGUGGUGAGAGAAAGGCUGUAACACCUCGGAAUCCAGGAGAAGCUAAGCAAGGCUGGCACAGUUAAAAAAAAAAAAAAAGACCUCUUAUCAAAGCUAUGCCGGAGACUUUUGGAAACAAGAGCAGAGCUGAAAUGACUAUUUUACUCAAUGGACGAUUAGAGGAUAUAACAUUAAUGGGCGUAGCCGCGUAGCUAUAGUUCUGGCGGGACUCUCUAGUCAUGCUCUCCCCAUCAGCUGACUGAUAAUGUAGUCCACUCAAAUGCACAUAUACUGAAAGAAGGUACAUUUAAGACCUUCCAUCUAAAACAACCACUCUGCAAAGUUAAGUGUGGUGAGCCUACCACCGCCAUAGCCUCCACCUGCUUUAGUUCUGCUCUACAUUGUACCAAAACGAUGGGUUGAGAGAUAUCUGGCUUACCCCUUGCAUAUUGCUCCCGGUUGUCAAAUGUUGGAAUUCUGUUGGUAUUCGGUGUAUGACAUGUAAUGAACCUACAUUUAUAUUUUAUUUCUCCAUUGUUUUGUUUUAUUUUGACAUAAUUCUGUAUUUUAUUUGUGGUCAUAAGGUCAUCUUAUUUAAUUUUGUCAAUCAUCAGAUCAACAUGCGUGGUAAGGGUUAGAGAUUGGUGAUUGUUCCAUUCCUGAUUACAUGCGAUUCCGGAAGGUACGGGCUUGACUCUCUCCGCUCUAGUGGAUGCCUUAUCGCUUGGACGCGCCUUAUUGUUGGAAUUUGGACGCUCUUCACUCUCUCCGCUCUCGUGGAUGCCCGAUCGUUUGGACGCUCUCCGACGCUCCGUGGUCGCGAUGGACAUUAUUGGACUUCAUAAGCACAUUCUUCUGAAAGUGAACCUUUGUGUUUAGGAAAGAGGGGAAAAGUAGUGUAACAUUGUGAACUAUGGAAACCUUGAUGCCGAAGUUUUACAGAUAAAUAUUUGAAACUC